GAUGAACGCUGGCGGCGUGCCUAAUACAUGCAAGUCGAGCGAACAGACGAGGAGCUUGCUCCUCUGACGUUAGCGGCGGACGGGUGAGUAACACGUGGAUAACCUACCUAUAAGACUGGGAUAACUUCGGGAAACCGGAGCUAAUACCGGAUAAUAUAUUGAACCGCAUGGUUCAAUAGUGAAAGACGGUUUUGCUGUCACUUAUAGAUGGAUCCGCGCCGCAUUAGCUAGUUGGUAAGGUAACGGCUUACCAAGGCGACGAUGCGUAGCCGACCUGAGAGGGUGAUCGGCCACACUGGAACUGAGACACGGUCCAGACUCCUACGGGAGGCAGCAGUAGGGAAUCUUCCGCAAAGGGCGAAAGCCUGACGGAGCAACGCCGCGUGAGUGGUGAAGGUCUUCGGAUCGUAAAACUCUGUUAUUAGGGAAGAACAAAUGUGUAAGUAACUAUGCACGUCUUGACGGUACCUAAUCAGAAAGCCACGGCUAACUACGUG
rnacentral:rRNA from 1 species